GAUGAACGCUGACAGAAUGCUUAACACAUGCAAGUCUACUUGAACUUCGGUUUGGGUGGCGGACGGGUGAGUAACGCGUAAAGAACUUACCUCACAGUUAGGGACAACAUUUGGAAACGAAUGCUAAUACCUGAUAUUAUGAUUUUAGGGCAUCCUAAGAUUAUGAAAGCUAUAUGCGCUGUGAGAGAGCUUUGCGUCCCAUUAGCUAGUUGGAGAGGUAACGGCUCACCAAGGCGAUGAUGGGUAGCCGGCCUGAGAGGGUGAACGGCCACAAGGGGACUGAGACACGGCCCUUACUCCUACGGGAGGCAGCAGUGGGGAAUAUUGGACAAUGGACCAAAAGUCUGAUCCAGCAAUUCUGUGUGCACGAUGACGUUUAUCGGAAUGUAAAGUGCUUUCAGUUGGGAAGAAAAAAAUGACGGUACCAACAGAAGAAGUGACGGCUAAAUACGUG
rnacentral:rRNA from 1 species